rnacentral:rRNA from 1 species
GAUGAACGCUGGCGGCGUGCCUAAUACAUGCAAGUCGAGCGAACAGACGAGGAGCUUGCUCCUCUGACGUUAGCGGCGGACGGGUGAGUAACACGUGGAUAACCUACCUAUAAGACUGGGAUAACUUCGGGAAACCGGAGCUAAUACCGGAUAAUAUAUUGAACCGCAUGGUUCAAUAGUGAAAGACGGUUUUGCUGUCACUUAUAGAUGGAUCCGCGCCGCAUUAGCUAGUUGGUAAGGUAACGGCUUACCAAGGCAACGAUGCGUAGCCGACCUGAGAGGGUGAUCGGCCACACUGGAACUGAGACACGGUCCAGACUCUUACGGGAGGCAGCAGUAGGGAAUCUUCUGCAAUGGGCGAAAGCCUGACGGAGCAACGCCGCGUGAGUGAUGAAGGUCUUCGGAUCGUAAAACUCUGUUAUUAGGGAAGAACAAAUGUGUAAGUAACUAUGCACGUCUUGACGGUACCUAAUCAGAAAGCCACGGCUAACUACGUG